UACGUAGGGUGCAAGCGUUUAUCCGGAAUUAUUGGGCGUAAAGAGCUCGUAGGCGGUUUGUCGCGUCUGCUGUGAAAACUGGGGGCUCAACUCCCAGCCUGCAGUGGGUACGGGCAGACUAGAGUGCGGUAGGGGAGAUUGGAAUUCCUGGUGUAGCGGUGGAAUGCGCAGAUAUCAGGAGGAACACCGAUGGCGAAGGCAGAUCUCUGGGCCGUAACUGACGCUGAGGAGCGAAAGCAUGGGGAGCGAACAGG
rnacentral:rRNA from 1 species